rnacentral:rRNA from 1 species
UACGUAGGGUGCGAGCGUUAAUCGGAAUUACUGGGCGUAAAGCGCGCGUAGGCGGUUUGAUCAGUCGGAUGUGAAAGCCCCGGGCUCAACCUGGGAAUUGCAUCCGAUACUGUCAGGCUAGAGUAUGGUAGAGGAGAGUGGAAUUCCCGGUGUAGCGGUGAAAUGCGUAGAUAUCGGGAGGAACAUCAGUGGCGAAGGCGACUCUCUGGACUAAUACUGACGCUGAGGUGCGAAAGCGUGGGGAGCAAACAGG